UAGAUAUGGCUGAGAUGAAUGCAAGAGUGUUUUCUUAAGAAAACACACAGGAGAACAGCUAGAACAGCCAGGCUGUAAAUGUUGGACUGAGAACCGCCAAACUGAAGCAGAGAAGGCUCUGUUGUGGAAGACCAACUGGGAGAGGCCUUGAGCAGAGCAUCAUGGGAGGAGUCUCAUGUAACUCUGUCGAAUGAAUAAUCGGAGGCUGAAUUUAGUAGUUUCAUGUUGAAUGUUUUAGUCAUUUUUUUUUUUUACUCUUACAAUUAUUACUGAAAAAUACAAACAUAUGCCAUUUUCCCUUCUGGGUUUAAUAAAUAUCCCCA
rnacentral:lncRNA from 1 species